UGGGGAAUCUUGGACAAUGGGGGCAACCCUGAUCCAGCCAUGCCGCGUGAGUGAUGAAGGCCUUAGGGUCGUAAAGCUCUUUCGCCUGUGAAGAUAAUGACGGUAGCAGGUAAAGAAGCCCCGGCUAACUCCGUGCCAGCAGCCGCGGUAAUACGGAGGGGGUUAGCGUUGUUCGGAAUUACUGGGCGUAAAGAGUUCGUAGGCGGACUAGCAAGUUAGAGGUGAAAUCCCAGGGCUCAAGCCUUGGAACUGCCUUUAAAAGCUGCUAGUCUAGAGACCGGAAGAGGUUAGGGGCAAUACCUAGUGUAGAGGUGAAAUUCGUAGAUAUUUGGAGGAACACCAGUGGCGAAGGCGGCUCACUGGCUCGAUACUGACGCUGAGGUGCGAAAGUGUGGGGAAGC
rnacentral:rRNA from 1 species